rnacentral:rRNA from 1 species
UGCGUAGGCGGUACGAUAAGUCAGAUGUGAAAACCAAGGGCUCAACCUUUGGACUGCAUUUGAAACUAUCGAACUAGAGUAUGGGAGAGGAAAGUGGAAUUCCUAGUGUAGCGGUGAAAUGCGUAGAUAUUAGGAGGAACACCAGUAGCGAAGGCGACUUUCUGGAACAUAACUGACGCUGAGGCACGAAAGCGUGGGGAGCAAACAGGAUUAGAUACCCUGGUAGUCC